rnacentral:rRNA from 1 species
GGACUACCCGGGUAUCUAAUCCUGUUUGCUACCCACGCUUUCGUAGUUGAGUGUCAGUACUUGUCCAGGUCGCCGCCUUCGCCGCUGGUGUUCCUCCCGAUCUCUACGCAUUUCACCGCUACACCGGGAAUUCCACGACCCUCUCCAAGACUCUAGUCUCACCGUUUCUAGGGCACUUCUUGAGUUAAGCUCAAGGCUUUCACCCCAGACAAAUGAGACCACCUACCUACCCUUUACGCCCAAUAAUUCCGAGCAACGCUUGCACCCCUCGUAUUACCGCGGCUGCUGGCAC